CAGAUUCUUCUGCAGUAUCCUUAGUCACUUCAGAAGGUAAAUCCACUAUUUCCACAACUAAAGACUCGGGUCGUUCUAUAGUUGUAUCUUUUUUCACCUUGGUAUCGUCGUUCCUACUAGAAUUUUGUUUCUUAGAUAUAUUAUUGGAGUUCUGCUUCAAUUUAGGGGAUGAAUCAUCGACUUUUAUUCUGUUACCGCCUAAAUAUUUGUAUCCUAUCCAUGAUUGCUCGA